GGCUCAUCCAGAGUGGGGGAGGGUAUGGCCCGAUGAUCCCACGGCAACCGUCCGCCUGAAGUGUGGCGGAGCCAGGUGCCAAGGCCAGGUCGUCCGCCUGAAGUGUGGCGGAGCGGCCGCGAUGAGAG
rnacentral:ncRNA from 2 species